rnacentral:rRNA from 1 species
UACGGAGGGGGCGAGCGUUAUUCGGAAUUAUUGGGCGUAAAGGGCGCGUAGGCGGCCCGGUAAGUCAAAGGUGAAAUCCCUCGGCUCAACUGAGGAACUGCCUUUGAAACUGUCGGGCUUGAGGCCGGGAGGGGGUAGCGGAAUUCCCAGUGUAGCGGUGAAAUGCGGAGAUAUUGGGAGGAACACCAGUGGCGAAGGCGGCUACCUGGACCGGUUCUGACGCUGAUGCGCGAAAGCGUGGGUAGCAAACAGG